AGCAGAACAUGAUGAAGCAGUUUUCCCCCACUUAAAGGUCCAGUCAUGCUUUGGUUUGCAGGGGGCAGAGGGGCUGGUUUGCAGGUGAUGCUGGGAGGAUGAGGACUUGAUUUUAUUUUUCCUCCUUGACUUCUCCCACUACAAGCUGGAGCUCCGAGAGGCAGGAACCAAGACUUGGACGUUAUAUUCUGACUUGGCAGGACGCUUUUUCUCUUAUCACCACCUCCUGGUGCUUCCAAGGUACCAGACACUUUAUUUUUUUCCACCUGUUUGGAUAUCCAC